rnacentral:rRNA from 1 species
UACGAAGGAUGCGAGCGUUAUCCGGAUUUAUUGGGUUUAAAGGGAGCGUAGGCGGUCUUAUAAGUCAGUGGUGAAAUCUCGUUGCUUAACAACGAACGUGCCAUUGAUACUGUAGGACUUGAGUACAGUUGCCGUUGGCGGAAUGUGUCAUGUAGCGGUGAAAUGCAUAGAUAUGACACAGAACACCGAUUGCGAAGGCAGCUUGCUGGGCUUAGAUUGACGCUGAGGCACGAAAGCGUGGGGAGCAAACAGG